UUAUAUAAAUUUAGAUAACUGUACCUUAGUACAAGAGAACCAUUCCAAUUAUUCUAAACAUAAAUAUUUAAUUGUUAAGGUUUAAUUUUGUAUAACUUAUUCGCUCCUUUUUAUUUUGGUGCGUUCAAAAAUUGGCGUUACAUUUGUUUUUUUAUUCUCUGGGUAGCUACUCGAAAAAAGUUAAGAACUGUAAACUGAAUGCGUAUUUUUAUAUUGUAAAAUUUAUCGCAUGUGUAACUUCUAUAUACUGUAACUAUUUACAAUGAUUAUAAUUUGAAAAUUAAAUGUAAUUCUAGCCUU